rnacentral:misc_RNA from 1 species
AGGAACCGGAUGCGGGAAAGCCGCACCUUCGGGUCUAUGCGGGAGGCGCUCGAUAACGGACGCUCCUGCCGCAAGAUACUUGAACUUACUCGUCGAUGCCUU